rnacentral:rRNA from 1 species
UACGGAGGGGGCUAGCGUUGUUCGGAAUUACUGGGCGUAAAGCGCACGUAGGCGGCUUUGUAAGUUAGAGGUGAAAGCCCAGGGCUUAACCCUGGAAUUGCCUUUAAGACUGCAUCGCUAGAAUCGUGGAGAGGUGAGUGGAAUUCCGAGUGUAGAGGUGAAAUUCGUAGAUAUUCGGAAGAACACCAGUGGCGAAGGCGACUCACUGGACACGUAUUGACGCUGAGGUGCGAAAGCGUGGGGAGCGAUCCGG